rnacentral:rRNA from 1 species
UACAGAGGUCUCAAGCGUUGUUCGGAUUCAUUGGGCGUAAAGGGUGUGUAGGUGGCGCGCUAAGUCGGGUGUGAAAUUUCGGAGCUUAACUCCGAAACUGCAUUCGAUACUGGCGUGCUUGAGGACUGGAGAGGAGACUGGAAUUCAUGGUGCAGCAGUGAAAUGCGUAGAGAUCAUGAGGAAGACCAGUGGCGAAGGCGGGUCUCUGGGCCGAUACUGACGCUGAGGAGCGAAAGCGUGGGGAGCGAACAGG